CCAGUCCGGGGGGCCAGCCCGAGGCGUGGGGCGCUCCCUCGCCACCGCCGCUAAGCGGCCCCAGACCCGGGAGAAAGCCCGGGCUCCCGCGCCUGUGCACGGAGCGGCGGUUGGCGCGCCCGCCGCGCGCCGCGGGGCGCCCAACUGCCCGCCUGGGGCUGCAGGGAGCGUGCUCAUUCCACGGCGGGACGUGUCCUGGGGAAACAUUCCUCCCCAGGGGAAAGUGUUUGUUUGGGGAUUAGACCGAAAUAAUGUUGGUUGCCAUGUGUGAACACCUGAACCUAACCUUUCAGAGUUUUAUGUUACCCAGGGAUGAAAAGAGGUUCAUUUUCUAGUGUACUCCACCUUUUAGGAAGGGACUGUGGCCAUCACGGGUUCACAUAACCCAGGAGCAGCCCAGGGCAUAGCAGCAGGACUUGGCAGAAAGGGAGUUCUUAGGGAGAAGGUUAAGUCGAGGUCAAUUGUAGGGAAAGUCGGGCAGUUGUGGGGUUAGGAACCUGCUAGAUCCCGUUUACACCUAGCGCUGCAACUAGGAAGACAGCUCACUGAAGCUGGCCGGUGUGCCUGUGUGCGCACUGCACGUGCCAGUAUGUGCAGUAAAUGUGCGUGAGUUUGCGAGUGUCUCUGUUCACGAGUGUGCACGUGUAUCUGCACGCGAGUGUGCAGUAAGUGUGCAUGUGUUUACAUGCGUGUGUAUCUGCGUGCAUGUGUCUGUGUGUGCAGCGCGCUCGCCGGCGCUCGGUGGGGAGCGCGUUUGGAGGCUGAGCGGGGCAGUCAGGGCCGUCCCUGCUCCUCUGCAGCCCCUUGCCACUCCCAUGGAGCUAGAACGCGGCCGCGGGUGCAGCUACAGCCUUCCUGGAACGUGCUGGCUCCACGCCGUGGAGGCUCAGCCGCUGGGCGUCCGGGGUUGACGGUGGCAGAGAUGGCAGCCUAAACCACAGCAGCCCUCCCAGCGCCAGCUCCCGCGCACCCAGCCGGCUUCUCCAGCCCUGUCCUUUGAUCUCCAGAAAGGAGCUGAGCAGUUGAGGCAAAGCGCCUGCAGCUGAGUUAGAGGCGGGGGCGGCGGGAGGCGGGAGGAGCCAGGAGCGCGUUCCAAAAAGGCGCCCAUGGACAAGCUACCUCCGGGCGCCUCAGAAGAAAGAGCGCAGCUGACGCGGGAAGCAGCAGCAAGUCCGUAUGCGGGCCGGUGGAGACACCAGCGCAGCCCUGUUCCCACUGCCAGGGCCCCCAGACGACUGGCGACCAGAGCGCCAGCAUCCCCAGGCUGGGGGAGGCGGGCGCCGCGGCGGGCAGCCGCCGGAAGGCGGAAGGUGGGAUUAGGCGAUGCGCUUCCUUGGACUUUGCGCUAUUGUGUGCAGCCCUGAGUUGCGCGGUGGCACCUGGUGACGGAAAGCGACUGGGGUCUGACAAACCAGGGCUUGCCUGUGCUUUCCUAGCCGCUUUUGCAGUUGCCGGGGAGAAGGAGGUGCCGGAACCGGGUCGCAGUGGGCUAUCAGGGAUGAAGGGGCUAGAGUCCUGGGACCGAAGCUGUUUCUCUGGUCUCCUCCCGCGCGAGCUGCUCGGGCUCCGGCUCCCCCUCGUGUCGCCGGUGGCACUGUGCAAACUCCUCGGCUGCCCGAGGCGGCCGCAGCUCCGCGCCCUGUCGCCCCGGCAGCUCCGUGGGGCAUCGGGCGGCUGAGCGCCGCGAGGCAGGUAGCAGGAGGCGCGGCCACACCGGGGUCGGGCCCCAGGGGAGGCACGAGCCCAGGAUAGGCAGCGCAAACCCCGCCCGCAGCCCCCCCAUCUGAACCCCUAGCCGCCGCCGCCCAGCCACCCCGCUGCUCUCCUGUCCAUGGCGCGGCCAGGGGUUGGCAGGGGCCAUGGCCAGCGCAGCUGAGCCCUGGCAAAGCGACUGAGUAUCUACAGGAGCUGACCCGGAUCGUCGCCAGGCAUCAGGGAGCUCCAGCGCCAAGUGGCGCGACUGAGCCGCUAGAAUGCCAACCUGCUGGAGCGCACCGGUGACACCUGGCCACAUGCGCCGGCGCCCAGCCACUGGAUGCCAUCCUGAAGCUUAGCGGCCGCCGCCAAGACAAGUGUCAAUCCAGUUCUCGUCGCAGUACAACUUUGCCAUGAGCAUGCUCAGCCAGGUGAAAGGCCUGGCUGGACUGAAGGUCAUGGUCAAGGCUCUGGACCCCAUGGCCGGGCAGCUGUGUGACCUCGCCAAGGAGCUCUCUGACCAGAUCCAGAUCCAGGGAUGGUGCGGCCUGUCUGAGCUAUGUGUCCUGGAUGGGCCCGAGAAGGUUCCUGUCUUGCACAUUGAGGAGAAGGGCUUCCUGGUGUCAGGGUCUGUGAUGGGGACGUCCCUGAAGUGACUGCAAAAAGCCUUUUGAAUCGUCAUUGUUGCCGUAAAGGUCGGGUGUGUUUUCCCAAUUUUUUGAGCAAUAAAAACAAAACCACUGAA